rnacentral:rRNA from 1 species
CCUACGGGAGGCAGCAGUGAGGAAUAUUGGUCAAUGGCCGGGAGGCUGAACCAGCCAAGUCGCGUGAGGGAAUACGGCCCUACGGGUUGUAAACCUCUUUUGUCAGGGAGCAAAGUUCAGGCCGGGACCUCCUUUUAGAGUACCUGAAGAAAAAGCAUCGGCUAACUCCGUGCCAGCAGCCGCGGUAAUACGGAGGAUGCGAGUGUUAUCCGGAUUUAUUGGGUUUAAUGGGUGCGUGGGCGGAGGCACAAGUCAGCGGUAAAAUCGUGGGGCUAAACCCCGCCCCGCCGUUGAAACUGGGGCCCUUGAGUGCGCGAAGGGUAGGCGGAAUGCGGGGUGUAGCGGUGAAAUGCAUAGAUAUCACGCAGAACCCAGAUUGCGAAGGCAGCAUACCGGGGCGCGACUGACGCUGAGGCACGAAAGCGUGGGGAUCGAACAGGAUUAGAUACCCGUGUAGUC